rfam:Nitrospirae bacterium HCH-1 contig029, whole genome shotgun sequence.
GGGAGCCGGAUGAGCGGAGAGGUUCAUGUCCGGUUCUGCGAGGGGCUGGGGGUGCAAUUCCCCGGUCUACUCACC